CUAAUGAUUGCACCGCUCGAGAAACCAGGAUCCUUGCCACCUAAACGUUUUGACCAUCAGGCAAAAGAAACGGCAGCACUUUUUGAAAGGCCACCAAUGGCCAGACGAGGGGUGAUCAGAAGAGUGGAGAUUGGUCUCCCAGUGUUAUCGGACGAUUGUCUUGUAAGUUAUUGUUUUGUUUCCUAAUUUUUCAUUAAUAGCAUGAUUUACACUGUAAUAUUAACUGUUGUUCUUUUUCUCUUUUUAUUCUUGGAUAUCUGGUGAACCCUCUUUGUUAACGGAACAUUGAUUGUUGUACAAUGGAGCUGCAAAAACUUUGUCAACUAAUCAAUGAUGUCGGCGAGGUUUUUUGUGAGUAUUGCGUCGGGUACGUUUUCUGUUAAUUGCUACUCUUUGUCCUCCUAAGCUUCGUGUUUAAGAUGAAUAAUUUCUUUAUUCCUUGUUACUCAUCUCUUUUAUUUAUUUCAUGUUCAUCGGCACUAAUUACUGACUUCUGGAGCACUGCACCGUAACGAAUCUACUCUGGAAAUACCUUCUACUGGGUCUCAACCAUUCAUUUAUUUUUAAUUUUAUGUAAAUAAAGAAUCUGUUCACAAUAAACAUUGUUUUUACUUACCUA